AGGAGUAACCAAAGAAUAAUUCUAUUAAUCAUUUUUAUAUUCUACAGAUUCAAUGUUCACUUUUCAGUAUUAUACAAAUUCAACGUUUAAUUUUCUUUUCGCUAACAGAGACGGUUUCACGAUUUUAACAUUAAUAAUCAACAGUUAAGGAUUGGAAAAUAUAACGGCGUAUGAAAUACACAUUAAAUCGAUGACCUCAUUCAAGUUCGUCGGAAAUCACCGCGAAAACCAUUUCAUCCCGUGGAAUAAUUUAACUUCCCAGGCGCAUAUUGAUGACAUAUGUCGUGCAUUUGCAUACGGCUGUACCGACCAUGAUACGAAUUUCAACGAUCCAACAGCGAUCGUCCCUCGAAUAUCGUUAUCCUUCGCUGUUUCCUUUGUCUCCCGUUCCUUCGUCUUUUUCAGAAAGGCCGAAUAUCAAUCGACCUUAUAUGGAAGGAACAUACACAAUCCCGUCAGUCAUUUCCGCAUAAAAAAAUGGAGAUGGAGGGAGGAGAGAAAAAAGACUUCUCUGAAAGCGAUUGUAGUAGCUCGUGCAUUUUAACGUCGGCACAGGGCGAGACGAACGAAUAUCGAAGAGAAUUAAUUGAAUUCCCACGACGGACUUUCUUUCGUCUGACGUGAUGCGGACAAAUUACGAUUGGCCGUUUCGAAGCGAACUUCCGCUUCUAUGAAGCGUGGAUACAGAGAAUUAGUAACGCUGGAACAACUCUUUCGAUCUAUCGAUCUUUCGCUUUGAUACGAUUAAAAGAAGGACGAGCUCUCAGCGGAACGUCUAGGAAUACAGUUGGUUUCAAAAGUAUUUGACUACUAUUUUGGUAGACGCAUUCGAGGAUGGAUAUUAUAGUGGGUCGGACAAAAUUAAUUUAUACAUUAAAAUUUUGAGAAUAUUUCAUGCUAAACUGAUGAGUAAAUCGACCGAUGAAGCGCCUAAGUAAAAGAUAUUUCUCAACAUCCUCUUUCCAAAUACGACAAAAUUGAAUCGUGAUCGAUCUUAAUAGACACGAAGACGUGUACACCAUCUUGCCUGAAACAAUUCCAUUCUUAGAACCGCCUUAGCCGCAGAGAGGAAUAUCUGUCUCGGAGAUUCAUGAAACGAGGAACAAGAUGGUUACAUUUCCCAUGGGGAAGUCGGGUAUUCUCCUUUCAUUUUCAGACUUAUUUCCAUCCAGGAUUGAAAGAACCGUGCGCGUAGUCCUUGCAAAGACAGUCCUGAGUAAGUUGGGAUUGUCCACGGGGAUUGCCAACACACUGUCAUCACAUGUUCCGUGACGUGGAAAUCAAUCUCAACAGCUUCUCGUAUCAAUUUCGCAUCACACCUGAAGCGCAUCCGGCGCCAUCUUCUUCGGGUCACCGCCAGUUUCGUUCUUUCUCCACAGCCUUCGCUUUAUACUUGCGGGACAAAAAGACCAUUCUGGAGAUCCUGGGAGCCGACUAGGCGAGGAAAAUAUCCAGUAGAGGAACACGAACCUUGUCGAAGACGAACGCUUGUCUACACGGAAACUUAUCGAUCGUUGUGUCGGUGAAUCUGUUGCUGGAGGAAACUCUGGAGGAAAUAUGAAUUCGAUGCGUUAUACCGUGAAUACAAAUUGCUAUCUGUUGCUCGUUAAGCAUGUUUCUCGCUGAUUUAGAGUGAGCUGAUUAGUGACGCGGCAAAAUAUGGAAGGGCCGCAAGAUUGAGGCAAGGGAAAAGGGAGAAAGGGGGCAAUAAGAAAAAAAAAAAAGGAAAAAGAGUGAACGAAGAAAGGAAAAACGGGAAGGAAAGUCGAGUUCCGAGUAGAGGUGAAAUGAUAAAUUAAAGCUGAGCACACUAAUGUUCCCCGCCGCAAAACAAGACGCCUCAAGCUGCAAAAUUAUGAAAGUUCCAAGACUAAUUGUGAAACUUUCCGCGACGUUCAACAUUUCCGUAAACUCGCCGGCCCGGAAAGGACGAUUUACCUUCCGCAUGAUAUUUACAGCACAUAAAUAUUUCCGAAAAAAAUUUUUUCAAUUACUUUCAAAAUAUUGAAUGCGUUCAAAAAAUAAACUUCGAAAUAAACAGCUCAAACAACAGACGUGUAUACAAAGAUUGUAACAACGGCUUUGAGGAUAAAUUACAAAUGUCGCCACAGAGACGGCCCGCAAAGGGUUAACAAGUGAAGUUUUUUUAAAACAGCCGCCGGAUUACACGCUCGAAACGGAAGAGAAUUUGAAAUUCAGCGAACCGAGCUUCAUAAAGCCCUUCGAAAAGUGGUUGAAUACCGCAGUAUCACUCAAAAACAGUCGGCAUAGCAGGCGGUGCCGUUUGUUAUUUAAUCAAAAGCGGAGAUUGCAAAGUUCAUCGUAAAGUCCCGUUUCAUUCGCACGGCAACUCCGUAGAAGUUCUUUGUUUACUGCCUUACCACGGUUCGCAAGGAGUUCAUGGAAUUCCUUGUCAAUAACCGGCACGGGUCUUGCUUUUAUCGAAUCGUUCUUACGGCAAGUUCCGACGAAAAAUUGCCUCCGGCGGAAUAAUAUUGCUUCAACCGUUUUAUUUCAUUGAACUUUGCGGUUCUGUUUUCACUUAUUUACGUGAACCGGCCCCCUGGAGAAAUUCAGAGAAGUAGUUCAAUGGACAAUUGCGGAACAAUUCAUGAUGUUUGAUUGAUAGAAAGAAACAUUUCCACUUUACAAACUUUGAUCUGGUAAAUUUUCGUUGACGAUAGGUAUCUGAGAACAUAUGUAUAUGGAGAUACAGGAAUUAUUAAAUGCACG
rnacentral:lncRNA from 1 species